rnacentral:rRNA from 1 species
GACGGAGGAUGUAAGUGUUAUCCGGAAUCACUGGGCGUAAAGCGUCUGUAGGUGGUCAAAUAAGUCAACUGUUAAAUCUUGAGGCUCAACCUCAAAAUCGCAGUCGAAACUAUUAGACUAGAGUAUAGUAGGGGUAAAGGGAAUUUCCAGUGGAGCGGUGAAAUGCGUAGAGAUUGGAAAGAACACCGAUGGCGAAGGCACUUUACUGGGCUAUUACUAACACUGAGAGACGAAAGCUAGGGUAGCAUAUGGG